GAAGGAGAGGGUGAGCUCGAGUGGCAGGCAAGGGAGGAGGGCGUGAGCCCUCGUUGAUGUGGUCUCCGUCAGAGGCGACGGGGGAUGGAUCCGCAGGCCGGGCAGCUGGAGGUGGAGGCCAUGGCGGGGCGACCACUGGUCCACGGACUGGGCGGAGGACGGGGAGGGGAGGGCGAGUCGCCCCCCACCACCACCACGCGCAGGUUCGCGUUGGGGAUUGAUUCCUACCAGUGAAAUUUGCAAGGGAGCCGACCUACAGUUUCAUGUAUAGCUCGAGCUCGAGGCGGAGACAAGGAAGGUCGGAAAAUGAAGAGAUGGGAUGAAGGUGCUCGCACUGAAUAUAUAUAGUAGCUGGUGCACGAGCUUGCAUUCAACCAGUCUAGACUCAACUCCUCAUAUCGGGUGCGGACUGAGAGUUGGAUGCUCUGUGCCAGCAUAUGGAUGUAUUGCGACCACUGUUGCUUCGGCUGUGAGCGGUCCAGGAUUGCAACCUGGUGUCAUCCACUUCCUACUCACAGGUUACCGUAGUGUUAUGUAAAACAUACCCAAGCUCUCGUUCCUUAAAAUUAUCCAUCUAUUAACUGGAUUAUGAAUAAUUGUUCUUGCAAGUGAAUUUUCAUUACGUGAGUUGAGGAGGAUGCGCGGUCUUCAGACUCGGAGAUUUCUGGUUUUUUCAUUUGAUCAUUUCUGCAGAGAUUGUCCUUCUAUGCAUUAUUUGGUAACCAUCUACUACAGAUCAGCUACUACCCUGCUGCUGCCCUUAUGGUGAAUGAUUGAUGGUGCAUGUUUUCCUGUUAGUUUUUGUGUAUGCCAAGUAUGAAUUUUAUCAUUUUGCAUUUCUCCAGCCCUUUCAUUCUCACUGUGAUUCCGUGAGAUGCAUUGUCCAUAGGCAAUGCACUUUCUAAUAAAAUAUGACGGUGACCUUGAAAAGACUAAUUUAUCUAGCUACAAAAACCUGGUGUUUAUGUUCCCUGCUUUUGCAAAUACUCCCUCCGUCCGGAAAUACUUGUCCUAGGAAUGGUUGUAUCCAAACUUAUUUUAGUUAUAGAUACAUCCAUUUUAUCCAUUUUUAGGACAAGUAUUUCCGGACGGAGGGAGUAGUAGUUUAUGGUUGACACUUUAGUCUAUAUCUGUCAUGCACCCAUCUGGACUAUAAAUAGGACCCUCCACCACCACUUGCUAGCAAGUACUACAUCAUACAACAACAGACACCAUGGAUCUACUUCUGCUACUCAUCUCGCUUCUUAUGGUCACUGCAGGAUAGGGAAUCUGGCUUGCGAGUUCUGCCGAUGCGGCCAUGACGGCAAUGCCAAACUCUGAGGAGAUACCAAAGGUGUACUGGGAUAAUCUUGUUGUGCUUUGUUUCUGUAUGAUCUAAAACUACAAGGAUCUUGUGCAGUUCAGAUGUUCUGGAAUGACUGCUUACUUAUAUGGAUAGCUUGAACUGAAAGCAAGAGUAGAAGCCCAUGAGAUGAGCCACAAGGAAAAUAUGCAAGAAAAUGGCACAAUCAUGAUUCAGUUUGGUCAGCAAGUACCUAAUUACAAGUCAUCAGCUAGCGAUUCUCCCCAAGAAGUGUUCGGAAUGAGCAAAGGAAGCUUUAAUGAGAAGAAUAUUGAUGUUGUACAAUAGCCGGAAGAUCACAAGAGAUCGACCUUUUGGGUGGUCUAAUACUUCCUAUAUGGGCACAUCGAAAAGCCACUACGUGUCUAUUAUGAGUACUGCAAUUUAGACAUGAUUAAGAAUGGUACUGGAGUUUGCCUAUCUAUCAUGAUUUUUUAGUUCUGCUUAGUUGAUGGCCUCACGUAAUGUGCCUCCAUGGAUGGAGCUUUCCGGGUCUGCCUUGUUGAAUGUUCUACCAUGGAUGGAGCUUUGGCUGAUACCCUUUCUAAAUAGCUGAUAUUUAUUGUACCUCAUCUUCGCUCCUGGUUGGCGGGGAACCCCUCAUGGUCGAGCCCCUAGCCCCCCACCUUAGCAGCUGCCUGGAGAGGAGGAUAGCUCAUGGACAACUCCCAAUGUGCCGAGGAGAUGGGAACAUGGUAUUUUAGGGUAUAGCUUGAUUUGGCACUAUCGUGAAGUGGGGUAAUUUUCCAUAUUGAUGUGGUUGGUAUGCACAUCCCACUAAGAAGCAAGGCGCAAUAAAAGCUCAUUUUCCAUUUUGCAAAGGUUCCUUUUAGUAACUGAUGCGUCCAUGUUGAUGCAGCUACAACUAUGGUAAUGCAGGUUAUACUGCAGGGUCCAUGAUGCCUUUCUAAGUAAUUUUACCACAGAUAUUGUAGGUGUUGUGUCGCUUAGCAAACUUUACUCCAGUAUAUGCAACUUUCAGAGUUCUAAUUCGUCUGUGUUAUAACAGAUUUGGUUUGAUCAAUUCAAAUUUCUUAUUCAGGCAUGUAUACACAAAUUGCAGGGUGUAUUAGCGGUUAGGAAACUUGCUUUUAGUAUGCAUUAUUUUCAAGCUUCAAGGCGUAUUAUUAUUCAUUUUUAUGUUAGUUGUCUGUACUUGGCUUACAUUUUUGUUUUCAAAUAGUUCUGCCUCUCAAUUUGAUAUUUCUAUUUGCUUUUGCUUAGUAAUAUGAUGUAUUGUUUUCUUGCUCUAGGCCUACUUGUGUUCAAGGUUCAGUUGAUUGUGUUUCUUAAUUGUGUUUUUUAAUGACAUCAACAUGUGGCACUAAUUCCAUUCUGCAUUGUACUGUGAUUUUUCCAAGGAACACCAUUAUGGCAAUUUUUUGCUCCAUUUUAAGUUUCGCUUGGAUCACUGGCCUACUUGUUCUCACCUCAUCAUCAUGGCCUUUCUUAAGGGUGUUCAGGCAUUUUGUCCUUCUGUAAUUAGUGGCAUUAAAUUAGUGGUCUUCUAUUCGUGUUGCGAACCCCAAUAUGGCAUCUCACCAUUCCCCAUGUUAACUGUGGAUUUAUUUAAUGAUAAUAGGAUAUCAAUUGCCUUUUCUUUAGGAUAAGCCGACGCCUAAUAAGGAUCAGGAGAACAACAGAUAUGCUAAGAGACAACCUUUUGGGGUUAAGGAUAUAAACAACAACAGGGCUUAUGAAGCCGAAGAGAGCUCACGUGGCGUCUUUUGGUUCUUGAAGACCUGCACGUUGCUGGUGGAGUAGAGCAAAAUAAUUUGGAGGCUUUAAAGCUACUACACUUCAUGUAGUUAGGAUCAAUUCUCUGUUUCAGUUUGAAAUAUUCCCCAUUUCCUCCUAUUUGAUUGAUUCAUCUGAUGGACAUUUUGUCAGGCAAAUAAACAAAAGGCAUAAGUAUUGUUAUGAGUGAAGCCAUCCAUACUCCCAUAUGGAAUUCAAGAAAUAGAGAAAUGUUAUUGUUCUUCUACUAAUUGUUUGCUUG